ACUGUGGAGGGUGAGGUGAGUGAUGGGAGAGGUGGCCAGAGAGAAGUGCCGCAGGCAGAGCAGAUGCAUUUCUGGGCUGGUCUGAGCUGCCCUCUCUAUGGUUUCUGGAGCAGCCACGUCACAAAACCCGGGUUACAGCAGUGGCAGAAUUUGGACAAUAUGGUGCUGCCUUUUAACCUGAGGUUUCAGCAGCAAAACGCACUACAAACCAAGGGUUCGGAUUACAGUUUGCCAUCGAAAACAUCAGGGAGUAUAUUCAAUGACACUGAAACAGACCCCAAAGGUUCUUCUCAGGCACUUCUCUCAACACGUUUCCUCUUCAGAGAUCAUUGCCAGGCCUAUUUCAGAAGACCAGCAAUUUCCCUCUCUGUCCCACCUCCCCUCCACACACACAUAUGCAUGCACACACCCCUCAAGCUUCUGUUUUUUGAACCAUUGUGCAAGCUUGUUAGGACCUGUUUACUACACAUCACUUUUUAAAGGCAAGUUGUUUGUACAAAAAGAAGUCACGCACAUUCUUUGAAUGUUUUAAAAAUUAUAUUCUGUGAUGUGUUCUUCUUGAACACAAUGAAAAUGUAGCACUUAUUUCAAAUGCUAGGUUUUAUGUUCUAUUUAAUCUAAUGAAAAGAAACAUUAAACAGCAUUUUUGUUCCUCUGUGUCAAGGUUGUUCUGUAAAUGUUGACUAUCUAGAUGCUGAAAGAGAUACUGCACUCCAAAAUAUUUGUCCAAGUUGAUGAACUAUCUCCAUUCUUUCAUGUAUUUGAUGAUUUGAAUGGCAUUCCUGCUGUUUUCCUCAUAGAUUUCUUUUCAGCUGAUUUUUGUCUUGUCAAGUGUGGAUUUAACCAUUCAGUGUUUUGAUUCUUGUAUUGAUUCUUUGCUUAGAAAGAGAAAUAAAGAUGGCUUUGCUUGACUUCA